ACAGAGCUUGCUGGGCUGAAGAUUAAUGAGGAAGAAGAAGAAAUCUUAUAGUUUCAAUUUGAGCCAAGAACAGAAACAGAGGUAGAGACUUUUAAAUUAGUGGGAUGUUUUUUAACUGCUAGCACUAUUCACUUUCCAGCGAUGAAGAGCACAAUGGCCAAUCUAUGGCAUCAGUUCGGGGGGUGCAAAUUCAAGAUCUAGGAGGGAAAAGAUAUCUAUUUCAGUUUUUCCAUGUUAUGGACAUAAAGUGGGUGUUUAAAGGGUCCCCGUGGACAUUCAAUAAUCAUCUACUACUUCUACAUAAGUUGCAACUGACGGAGGAUCCAUUAAUUGUUCCUUUGAUCUAUACCCCUUUUUGGGUACAAAUUCAUGAUUAGAGGUGCUCAUGGGCCGGGCGGCCCGGCCCGGCCCGACUGCCCGCCCGAAAUAUGGGAGGGUUUGGGUAAAAAUAUAGGCCCGAAAUAUGGGAUUGGGCAAAAAAACGAGGCUUGUUUAGAAAACGGGUCGGGCCUCGGGCACCACUUUUUGGCCCGGGCCCGGCCUGAUAUAAUAAAUAUAUUUAUUUUUUAAUUUUUUUUAAUUUUAAAAUAUUUUUAAAAUAUUUUUUUAUUAUUUUUUAAUUUUAAAAUAUUUUUAAAAUGUUUUUAAAAUACUUUUUUUAAUUUUUAAAAUAAAUUUUUGGUAUUUAUUAAAAAAAUGGGCCGGGCCCGGGCUUAUGAUUUUUUCCCCGGGCCAGUCCUGGGCAAAAUUUUAGGCCCAUAUUUCGGGCCGGGCUGGGCCCGAGCCUAGGACCCGGCCCGACCCAUGAACACCUCUAUUCAUGAUAUUCCUGCAGGUUUUUUUUCAAAAAGACUGGCAAUUCAAUUGGGAAACUUUAUAGGCACUCAUAUGGAGUAUGAUGGAUCAAAUCUGGGGAAAGAAAACCGAAAUUUUAUGAGAAUCAGAGUUCAAAUUGAUGUAAGAUACCCUCUGAAAAGGAAGAAACAGAUCUUAUUUUUUGGCAAAUGUUCAUAUGUCAGAUUUAGAUACGAACGACUAUCUCUUUUUUGCUUCUAUUGUGGGUGAUUGGGACAUAGCGACUCAUUUUGUGAAACGAAUAUGGCAUUAGGAGUGGAAGUUGGGGAGAUGGGAUGGGAUCUAUCUUUAAGAGCUCAAUCUCGAAGAGCUCUAGCAAUGAAUAGCGUUUGGUUGCGAGAAGAGGAAGAAGAUUUGGGUGGAAAUAAAGAAGAGAUUCAAGUAUUAGGAUCUAGUACAAGAGAUUUAAGGAGAAGCUUGGGACAAAACAGAAAUAUAGAUCCAAUAUUAGGAUUUAAUCUGGAAAGACAAUCAUCGAUCUUCAAAAAGGGUAAAACUUCGUAUACUUUCAUGGAUCAUGAUUUAGAGGAUAGGGUGUUUUCUAUGGAGGAAGGGAAGAAGAGAGCAAGGGGGAGAUUGAAGACGUUCUUGCCAAGGAAGAGAAUAGCACUUUGGAGUUAAGGAACCGAAGAGUUGGAGAUGCUAAUAUUGUUAUAUCGGCGGCUGCCAAGAGGCAAGCCGACCGGUCACAAUGAAAAUCUUAAGCUGAAAUGUCCGAGGUUUGGGGAGCCCACGGACAGUGCAUAGACUUCAGCAUUGGCUGAGGUUAUACAGUCCCCAUAUAGUAUUCUUUAUGGAGACAAAGAUUGACAGAAGGAGAAUGGAGCGAAUUCGAAGAAGGUGUGCUUUCCUCAAUGGAAUUGAAGUGGACGCAACAGGAUCUUGAGGUAAAUUAUGCAUGGCUUGGCGUGGGGAUAUCAGUAUCAGACUUCAAAGCUAUUCCAAAAGUCAUAUUGAUGUGCUAAUUGAGGACGUAGAGGGGGAAAAGAAUUGGAGAUUUACAGGAUUUUAUGGUUCUCCUUAUUCGAAUAAAGAAGAAUCAUGGAACUUACUGAGACAAUUGAGUAAUGUAAGGGAGUUGCCUUGGAUGGUUUGUGGUGACUUUAAUGAAAUUUUAUAUGGCUUUGAAAAAAAGGGGGGUUUACCUCGAGAGGAAGGGAGAAUGGAAGCUUUUAGAACGGUUUUAGAGGAUUGCAAUCUUAGGGACAUGGGUCACUUAGGAAAGAGGAAAUCUGCCAGAAACAAAUAUUCGAGAACGAUUAGAUAGGGGAGUGGCUACGGAAGAAUGGAUUUCUUUGUUCCCGGAAUUUCAAAUUAGACAUAUGUCUCACUCUUUUUCAGAUCAUUGUCCGUUGCUCAUUACUACCAAGCAAGAGGAUAAGAAAAAAAUUGAUAGAGGUUUUAGAGUGCUGGAGGACAGUUUCUUUUCUUAAGUUCAAAGUAUUUUUAGGGAACGACCAAAGGUGAUGUGCUAAGCAAGAUGGAAAGUUUGAAGAGAGGUCUUAUAGAAUGGGUUGAUAAGAUACAAAAUAGCAGGAAAGGGAAGAAAAUGAUGUUAAUCUCAAAACUGGGUAGUUUGGAGGAGAAUGAAAGAAAUGAUGAAAAUUUGAUAGAGCUCAUUGACACAAAAAUUCAACUUAAUUUUGAAAUUGAAAAAGAUGAAUACUAUUGGGAACAAAGGGCGCGGGUUAAUUGGCUAAAAUUUGGGGACAAAAAUACAGCGUUCUUUCAUAAACAGGCAACCCAAAAACGUCAAAGAAAUUUUAUCAACAGAAUGGAAUCAGAUGAUGGUAAGGAAACAGAAGAUAUUUCAGAAAUGGAGGAUAUUACCAGGUUGUAUUUCCAAAAGCUGUUCUCGACUGGGAGGAGGGGAAAUUACAACAGAAUUCUGGUAGGAAUUAAGCAAUGUAUCUUCGAUGAGGACAAUCUGAAAUUGAAGGCAAAGUACACAAAAGAAGAGAUCCGUGAGGCACUUUCAGAAUUAGGCUCAACAAAAGCACCAGAAGAGGAUGGAUUCCCAGCAAUAUUCUACCAAAAAUGCUGGUCUAUUAUCGGAGAGGAAGUUUCAUCGUUCUGCCUUAAUCUACUGAAUGGAGGUAUGGAUGUCAGCUCAAUAAACAAAACGAAUAUAAUUUUAAUUCCUAAAAUUCCUAAUCCUGUGAAUAUCAUCAAUUUUAGACCAAUCAGUUUAUGUAAUGUGCUUUAUAAAUUGUUGGCCAAAGUUAUUGCAAACCGUCACCAUCUCGUGAUGAAUAGAUGUAUUGAUUUAGCUCAAAGUGCUUUUGUUCCUGAGAGACUAAUUAGCGAUAAAUUUUUAUUAGCCUAUGAAGUUCUUCACUCUUUGAAGAAUAAAAGAAUAGGAAAAAAAGGGCUUAUGGCAGUGAAACUAGACAUGAGUAAGGCAUAUGACAGGGUUGAAUGGUGCUUUGUUGAAAAAAUAAUGAAGAAAUUAGGGUUUGAUUCAGAAUGGGUUAACAAGUUGAUGAAAUGUGUUUCAACAGUAUCAUAUUCAGUGGUUCUCAAUGGCGUCAAUGGAGAAAGUUUUUUCCCGUCUAGAGGCCUUAGACAAGGAGAUCCUUUGAGUCCAUUUUUAUUUCUGUUUUGUGGAGAAGGACUUUCUAGUCUUCUAAGGCAAGCAACGGAAGGAAUUUUAAUUCAAGGAGUGAAAGUUAGUAGAAAUGGUCCGCAGAUUUCACACUUGUUAUUCGCGGAUGAUUGCAUUCUGUUUAGAGAAGCCACAGAGAGAGGAGCUACUGUUUUGAAGAAUAUCUUAAAGGAAUAUGAGCUCAGUUCUAGCCAAUGUGUUAAUUAUAAUAAAUCCACAAUCUUCUUCAGUACAAAUACGCAAGAGGAAGAAAAAAGAGUUAUUGUUCGAAUGCUCAGUGUUCGUAGAUCGAAUAAUCCAGAAAGGUAUUUAGAACUUCCAAAUUUAGUGGGCAGAAGAAAGAAAGUAGCUUUUCAAAGCUUGAAGGACAGAUUAAAACAAAGAAUUGAUAACUGGAGUGUUAAAUACCUCUCUCAAGGUGGAAAAGAUGUUUUUAUUAAGGCAGUAUUACAAUCAAUUCCAACUUAUUCUAUGGCGUGUUUUUUACUUCCUAAGUCUCUUUGUAACGAGUUGGAAGGUAUAAUAGCCAGAUUCUAGUGGGGGAAAAUCGGGGAAAGAAGGGGAUCCAUUGGUGUGCGUGGAAGGAUGUGUGUGUCUUGAAAGAAGCAGGUGGCCUUGAUUUUAGAAAACUUGAUAAAUUUAAUAUCGCAUUAUUAGCUAAACAGGGUUGGAGUCUUUUUAAUUUUCCAGAUUCUUUGUUAGCCCGAGUAUUGAAAGCUAAAUAGUAUCCGAAUGCGUGUUUUCUAACGGCUCAAUUAGGAAAUUUACCUUCGCUCACCUGGAAGAGUAUUUGGUUGGCAAAAGGUAUUCUUGAAAAAGGUCUCUGCUGGAGGGUUGGCAAAGGGGAUCGUAUUUCUGUUUGGGAGGACCUCUGGAUUUCGGGCAAUGAAGACGACAGAUUGCAAAAUCAUCAGAGAGAUGGAAAUAUUAAGUUAGUUUCGGGUUUGAUUGAUGUAGAUAGAAGAGAGUGGAAAGCUGAUAUAAUUUCUUUUACCUUCAAUGCAGAAGUUGUUAAAAAGAUCUUGCAAAUUCCAUUGGCAGCGACAGCAAAUGAAGAUUUCCAAGUCUGGAGAGGAGAACCCUCUGGCAAUUUUUUGGUUCGGAGCGCCUACAAACUAUUAUAGGAGGGUACUCAAAAUCCUAUUAAUUUACAAACCGAGACUAAAUUUUUUUACAAAAAACUAUGGAAUUUACAAAUUCCCCCGAAAAUCAAAGUUACAAUAUGGGGAAUCUAUUGGAAUUACAUUCCUACUUUUGCAAAUCUGAAGAUCAAACGAACAGUUGUAGAUGCUCGAUGUCCUCGAUGCAAACUGGAAGAGGAGGACUAUAAUCAUAUUUUUCGUGGAUGCUCUAUAACAAAAGAAGUUUGGAGACUUACACAGUUAUCAUGGAUACUUAUUAAUACUCAAGAUACUUUUUGGAAUUGGCUUACAUGGGUUUUUAGUCGCAGGACAAACGAACAGUGCCGACUUUUCUGUUGCGGGCUUUGGAUCAUCUGGACAAGCAAGAACAAAUUUGUUUACGAAAACAGACAAACAACAAGCAGGGAUAUCUCUCAUAAAAUUUCAGAUUUUCUCUCUGAGCUAAGAGGAAUCGAGGAGAAGAAACUUAACUUGGCAGGAAAUGGUGUUCCGCGAACUGUUGGGAGAUGUACGAGAAUCUCAGUUUACUUUGAUGCGGCCUUUGAUCAGCAAAAUGCAAGAUCUGCUUCGGGACUUGUUGUUCGAGGCGAGGGUGGGGAGAUUUUAGUCUCAAAGUCAGUUAUCCAUACCAACAUUGCAACUCCAUUCGCGGCAGAAGCACAUGCAAGGUUACAAGCCUUAGAGUUAGGAAGAUCUAUGGGGCUUAAAGAUUUACAAAUAAUGGGAAAUUCGAAAACGAUUAUCAAAAAGUGUCAAAGUUCAGAACAAGACAGAUCGGUCAUCGGAGCAAUCAUCAAAGAUAUUCAAGAGAUUAAAACCAAUUUUAAUAGUAUAUGUUUUUGUUAUAUUCUGAAACUGAUAAUAUUUUUGCCCAUUUGGUUGCAAUAGAAGCUUUAAAGAAGGGAGAAGAACAUUACCUGGCUGGGGCGAUUCCAAAUACUGUCCGACAAGCAGUGGAGAGGAUGAAUCCAAGAUAUUAAGAUUAAGAGCAAAAAGGUGACUGUUGGAAGGAGUAGCAAACGGAAAAAAAGAUUUGGGGAAAUCUGCUACUAUUAAUGGUUGGGUCGGUGAUGGGAAAUGAAAAGAUAAUGGAGGCCAGCUGUUUCUGAUCAACUGAGAUUUCUAGAAGCAUU
rnacentral:lncRNA from 1 species